UACAGAGGUGGCAAGCGUUGUUCGGAAUUACUGGGCGUAAAGAGUGCGUAGGUGGUUUAAUAAGUUAGUAGUGGUAAAUUGGGGCUCAACUCCAUGGAAGUUACUAAUACUAUUAAACUAGAGGAUUGGAGAGGUUAACGGAAUUCUAUGUGUAGCGGUAAAAUGCUCAAAUAUAUAGAGGAACACCAAUUGGCGAAGGCAGUUAACUAUUCGGUUCCUGACGUUGAGGCACGAAAGCGUGGGGAGCAAGACGG
rnacentral:rRNA from 1 species